UCCCCACUAAUGUCAGGUAUUCCAGAAGGUUCCCCACUUAGAUCAGGGAUUCCAGAAGGUUCUCCACGUAGAUCAGGUAUUCCAGAAGGUUCUCCACUUAUAUCCAAUAUUCCAGAAGAUUCUCCACUUAUAUCAGGUAUUCCAGAAGGUUCCCCACUAAUAUCUGGAAUUCCAGAAGGUUCUCCACUUACAUCUGGAAUUCCAGAAGGUUCUCCACUUAUGUCGGGUAUUCCAGAAGGUUCUCCACUUAUGUCAGGUAUUCCAGAAGGUUCUCCACUUACAUCUGGAAUUCCAGAAGGUUCUUCACUUAUGUCAGGUAUUCCAGAAGGUUCUCCACUUAUGUCAGGUAUUCCAGAAGGUUCUCCACUUACAUCUGGAAUUCCAGAAGGUUCUCCACUUAUGUCAGGUAUUCCAGAAGGUUCUCCACUAACAUCUGGAAUUCCAGAAGGUUCUCCACUUAUGUCAGGUAUUCCAGAAGGUUCUCCACUUAUGUCAGGUAUUCCAGAAGGUUCUCCACUAACAUCUGGAAUUCCAGAAGGUUCUCCACUUAUGUCAGGUAUUCCAGAAGGUUCUCCACUAACAUCUGGAAUUCCAGAAGGUUCUCCACUUAUGUCGGGUAUUCCAGAAG